UGAGGCUGAGGUAGUAGAUUGAAUAGUUGUGGGCUUGAGGCCUCCCUCUGAUAUAACUAUGCAAUCUACUGUCUUUCCUAA
rnacentral:pre_miRNA from 1 species